AAUGUAGCCUCAAACAAUCCAUGGGAGGACAAUAAAUGAUGUUAUUUAAUAUUUAUUUGUAUUUAACAGAACCCUCAGUGGUGCUGAAGACUUAAAUACAUUUCCACCCUUUUUUUACAUCUUUGUGACAAAAAUGCAUAUAUUUUUCCAAGAAUUUAUGUGUAGAACUGUAUUAUAGCCUACAUGAAAGAUUGCACCAGCCACACAUACAGUAUACACAGAUAAACAUGAAUAAAAACCAUAAAGUCAGGACCAAAAACAUAAAAGUGUGUAUCGUUGGACAUCAAUAUGGCAUGAAGAUUACUGAACUGUUAUUUUCAGUUGAGUGGUUAUUAUAGCAAAAUUUAUUAAAGUGAUUUGCCUAAAUAAUACAUUUUUCAGAAGCAAGAGAAAAUAUAAACAACUCGUAUGAAAUGUUGGCUUCACUGAAAUUGUAUAAAGAAAUUUUAUUUUUAGGUCAUCUUGAUUACAUAGUGAAAGUUUUAGCAAAUGUUUGACCUUGACCUUAAUAAAAUGCAAAAGUUUCAUAGAUCUUACAGAGAUCUCAUCACUGGUAUAGUUAUUCAAACCUGUGGAGUUACUUUUUCAUGUGCAGACCUACCGUUUUUGUAAAGUAUUGGCUUGAUUGUAUGAUGAUUUAACAUUCUGUUUUACGUUUAUGUAAUCGUCUACCUAUGAAAUACAGCCAAAACCCCUAGUAACACUGUGGUUAGAAAUAGGCUUAGACUGAAAUUGUUUACCAAGAUGAUGUACACCCAUCAUGAAAUACUUAAAACCGUUUAUAUGACCAAAAUUAUUUUUGCAGGAAAACAUCAGUGCCUAAAUGAGCAGGAGAACGCUGUAAAGAAUGUGACAGAAAGGACAAUGCUCCUGCAAAUGCAGCAGUCACUUUUUUAUUUUCAGGACUCUAAGAGACAGCAGAUGUUCAUCUAGAACAACAUCCUGAAACGUUACCUAAAUAUUUUCAACUUAAAUUAGCAGCAGGUGAUUUUACAGAGGUUUGUUUUGAAUGUAUUAUGGCUGCUAUGAAGUUUGAAGAGUUCAGCCAUCUACAACGAUGGUUAUUAUAAAAUCAUUUUGGGCCUACUAUAGUCUGUUAACCCAAAAAUGAACAUUCUGUUAUCAUUUACUCAGUAUUGUCUUUCAAUGCCGGAACACAAAAGGAGUUAUUUACAGCAGAAUGUGAAAACUGCUCUUCUGUAUACAAUGAGAGUAAAUAAAACCGUUGAUGUCAAGCUGGAUUUUAAAAGU
ensembl:lncRNA